rnacentral:rRNA from 1 species
GUUAGGAAUCUUGCGCAAUGGGCGAAAGCCUGACGCAGCGACGCCUCGUGGGGGAUGAAGGCUCUCGGGUUGUAAACCCCUUUCGGCAGGAACGAAAUUGACGGUACCUGAAGAAGAAGCACCGGCCAACUACGUGCCAGCAGCCGCGGUAAUACGUAGGGUGCAAGCGUUGUCCGGAUUUAUUGGGCGUAAAGAGCUCGUAGGCGGCUUCGUAAGUCGGGUGUGAAACCUCCAGGCUUAACCUGGAGACGCCACCCGAUACUGCGAUAGCUAGAGUCUGGUAGGGGAUCACGGAAUUCCUGGUGUAGCGGUGAAAUGCGCAGAUAUCAGGAGGAACACCGAUGGCGAAGGCAGUGAUCUGGGCCAGUACUGACGCUGAGGAGCGAAAGCGUGGGGAGCAAACAGGAUUAGAAACCCGAGUAGUCC